GACGGAAGGUGCAAGCGUUGCUCGGAAUCACUGGGCGUAAAGGGUGCGUAGGCGGCUUGGUGGGUCUGGUGUGAAAGCCCCGGGCUCAGCCCGGGAAGGGCACUAGAAACUGCCGAGCUGGAGUGCCGGAGGGGAGAGUGGAAUUCCUGGUGUAGCGGUGAAAUGCGUAGAUAUCAGGAGGAACACCAGUGGCGAAGGCGGCUUCCUGGCCUGUUCUUGACGCUGAGGCGCGAAAGCUAGGGGAGCAAACGGG
rnacentral:rRNA from 1 species